CGAGACUUUUGCUUAGAAGAAGCUAAAAGACAAAACUUUCUACAUUUCUUGAAGAAGCAAUCCCUUGAUGUUCUAUCAGAGGGCAUAACAGCUCUGCGUCGAGUUAGUUUCAAUUGUAGCACCAUCUUCUCAAGUUACUCAUUUCACCCCACUGAUCCUACUGUUUCAUUUUCUCGUUCCCUCUUGGGAUUCAAUGUUUCUCAAAG
rnacentral:misc_RNA from 1 species